GUAGGUAUCCCAGGCACUGCCUGCACCAUCUUUAGUCACAAAAUAUCUCAUUAUUUAGUGUAAGAGAGCUUCACAUUCACGAAACACAUAAUAUUAUAUAAAAGAGGCGUGGUUGAAAUUGUUGCUAUAUGCUUUUCGUCCCCAUAGGUUUUACUCUGGGUUGUUUGUUUAGGUGGUUUUGCUAAGAAAUGGGGAUUUGGCACGGACACCCCUAUCUCGUGUAAACAACCUUUAGGUUGUAUUAUUUCGGGGAUGACCACUGUAACACACCUUGUACUGUGUAUGGUAACAUAUUGGUGUCAGCAAAACAUGGAAAGUAAAUCGGUCAUUUUACGUCAGUUAUGUAAUGUAAUAUAAUUCUUGUCAAUAUCCGAGUGCUGAACGGCUUGUAUGACACCCCUCCCCCACUUUUUUCCCACUGUGUAUGCAUGGCAGGACUUUGCCUUACGGAAAUCUAAUGCAGUGUGGUUUAGCUGUGGAACAGGAGGUUACAAGAGACAUAUCUCCUGAAAAGUAAAUUUAGUUUCUGUUGUUGCAGCGCACUACGUGGUCUAUGCAUUAUCUCAACUAGACAUGUUGCUUGCAUUUGGUUUCACAACAAGCAUUAAAGUUACGUUCCCCCAUCUCAAAUUUGUUCUGAAGUUUUGUGAUCACUCCUCACGAAAUACUGAAGUCUGCGCUGCCGCUGUGUAAAAAAAAACGGUUGAGUAAGUGGCGGUAAAUUCCAGCGCGUGAAGACCCUCGUUCUUCACAGAGAGCAUAUAGUGACUUACUAACACAUUCUGUGCAGUUCACAGCAUACUAUUAUUUGGGAGUUAAAGGAAAAGGAAGGAAUCUGUAAAGGGACUUCAAAAUGGAAACGAAAAUUGGUCAAAAGGAGAAGCCAAAGUUUGCUCCCCCGUCAGCUCGUGCCAAGCAGCGUCAGGUUAAAGAAACGACCAAGUCAAAGGAUGGAGACACGAAGCCAAAUAUUCCAAGAGAGAUUAAUGAAAAGAUAGCAACAGAUACAGAAGAACAGGACUAUGGAAUUGAAGAAGUAGGAGUUGUUUUUAAAAAGGCUAUAAAUUUGAGUGAGAAGCAAAAGCCUUGUGCAGGCACAGGAGGGAAAAAAAAGGUAGGGGGUCAAGAUGACCAAGCAGGAGGUAUGGUGACAUUUUCAGAAAGUCAGUCUCUCUCGGAAAUAAAUGAUGAAGCAGGGAGGGAGGGUGCUGAGAAGAAAGAGAAAAAGGAAAAAUUGAAGAAUAAAGCGGAGGAACCAGACACCGGGGGAGAUGAGGAUGCCGAUGGGAUGACAAAGAAAAAUAAACAUGUGCAAAGGACAGGAGACACUGGGGCUGCACAAAAAAACAGGAAGGAGAAAAAGAGGAAAGAGAAGACUGAACAGAUGCCCAAGGCCCAAGAGAAAAGAGAGCAUGUGGAAAAGGCUUCAAAGACAUUGACUGACAGCCAAUAUGACAAUCUCUUUGACAGUGUAUUGGGUGCCUCUGAACUGGAGACCUGUAUGGAGGAUGCCAGAGCAAUACUGUGUGAGGUGGAGUUACUGCAGGCCAGCAUAGACCAGGGCACCAACAAGUAAAUAUAUACACACACACACACACGUAUACACCACACACACACACACGUAUACACCACACACACACACACAUGUAUACACCACACACACACACGUAUGCACACACACACACAUGUAUACACCACACACACACGGUUACACCACACACAAACUCGUAUACACACACACACAUAUACACACACACACAUACACACAAGUAUACAC
ensembl:lncRNA